rnacentral:lncRNA from 1 species
GGAUGUUGAACUGAAAUAACUGAAAGAAAUUUACAGCACCACAAAAUGUCGAUCAUGUUAUUUUCAUAUAACUUAAUAUAAGGCAGCUUCUUGGAAGGUCAUGGGUUAAGCUCUAUCUGACAUAACUGAAGUUACAGUCAAUCGGUCACAGACAGAGUUGACUAUCUCAUGGAAUAAGUUAAACAAUAAUGACAUAUACGAGAUGUAGAGAGAAACUAAAAUUAUUUAUUAAACUUAAUUUGCAUAAUAAACAAGCAUAUGUUUUAAAUCUGAGUUGGGGCCAGACCAGGAAGUUAAAGUCUGUUUACACUUUACUGUAAGGUGCCAUUGUUACAUCGUAAUUAUACAUUUAAAUACUAAAUGAUAUUAAUUAACAAUAUGUAUUUACUCUAAGGUUAGUGUAAGGACUAGGGUUUGAUUUAGGGUUGCAUAUAAUUAUGCAUAAUUUAUAGUGCUAUUAAAUGAUUAAUCGUGAUUAAUCGCAUCCAAAAUAAAAGUUUUUGUUUACAUAAUAUGUGUGUACUGUGUAUAUUUAUUAUGUAUAUAUAAAUACACACACAUAAAGUACAUAUAUUUAGAAAAUAUUUACAUGUAUCUACAAAUUUAUAUUCAUAUAAUUUAAUUGAUAUAUAAAUAUAUUUAAUAUAUAAACAUUUUUCUUAAAUAUAUACAUGUGUGUGUCUAUUUUGUGUAAAUAAAUGUAAUGUGUUACAAGGGUGCCGUAAAAUGUUACCUAAAAUCCUGUACCACUUAUGUCAAGAUUAAGACCCCAAGAGUAAGACUCCAACUCAGUUUGAAAUCGGCAUUCAUAUGUUAUUAUGUUUUCUGCAGCCCUUUACUGUACAUCCUUUAACUGGACAGUAACCAACUCAUCAAUAGAGGCUAAAGUGAAUGGUAGCACAUAUGUGAAAGCUCAGAACAGCACUGGAAGUGUUAAAAAUGGCACUGUAAAUCAGAACAGCUUGACUCUGCAAGGCCUGUAUCCCGGAGGAAGCUACAAUGUUUCACUGUUUUAUUACUUGGAGUCAGAGCUGCUGCCACAGUGCACACACCACCUGACAUUAGAUCCAUAUAGUGUAUCUCAUCUCCGCUGUGAAUAUCAUUCUGGAGGGUAUGGUCUGGCUGUAAUUUGGGAUACUCCAUAUGGAGUUGUGGAUAGGGUGCAGGUGGAUGUAGUAAGAAAAAGUUUCAACAAAUCAUAUAGUUCAGAAAAACAAAUAAGACUGGAGAUAAAUGGCCUGCAAGCUGCCAAGAAGUACACUGUGACAGCAACAUCAUUUUCUGGAUCCAGGAGGAGUCAAACAGUAUCAGUCAACUGCGAAACAGAUCCAGCAGGUAAAAUAAUGUCUACAUAUGUGUAACUAAAGAUAGUGUCUUAAAACUUCAGGAAUAUUCCAAGUUAAAUACAAAUUGAAGUGAAUAAUUAAUCUUAAAAAUGAAAGUUCUGUCAUUAUUACUCAGCUUCAUGUUGUUUCAAACCCGUAUGAAUCCUACUUCUUUUAUGAGCUCUCAUGGAUAUACCAAGGAGAGUAAGGAUGGCUAUCAAGAUGGCCUGUUCCACACACAGCUGCUAGCAUGAGACUUCAGAAGACUUAUAUAUAUAGCAAGUCAUUUGGACAUACAGCAAGUCAUAUGGAACUUUUUCCAGUGAAAUAUAGUUUUUUCCCAUCUUCUAUCUAUCUAUCUAUCUAUCUAUCUAUCUAUCUAUCUAUCUAUCUAUUAUUUUAAAAAGUUAGAAUUGAGCAGAGGUUUUUUUAAGUUAUAAAGUAUAGCUUUAAUUUAAAGUUUGUUUGAAUUUAAAGUUUGAAUUUUGUGUUUUUUAUUUUUAUUUAAUUUUUUUUAUAAUGCAGUACAAGAAUAAUAAGGCAAAACAAAUGUUUUAGGUUAAUAAAAAAAAGGUUUAAAAAUAAACACUUUGCUGAGGAAGUACAGUAUAAGAGGAAAUGUCAGGCAGUAGGGGGGCCUUGACAAAAUUNNNNNNNNNNNNNNNNNNNNNNNNNNNNNNNNNNNNNNNNNNNNNNNNNNNNNNNNNNNNNNNNNNNNNNNNNNNNNNNNNNNNNNNNNNNNNNNNNNNNCAUCAGAAGAUUUGAGUGGAAAAGAGGCUUGGAAGAAAUUAAUGUUUAUUAUGCAUGCAAAAAUUACACACUGGUGGCAUUAGAUGGAAAUACUGUAAUGUGGUGGUACUUUUGAAUGAUAUCGGAUGAUUACCAUCAUAUUCAUAUACUGUUGUAUUUACAGGAGUAGCUUUUUGGUCUCAGGUGAAGUGCUUGCUGACAUGCACGAACCACUAGAUGGCACUGUGCACUUUCAAUCAGGCUUUGCAUUCUUAGAUUUGCAUAAUUGGUUUGUUACCUGAUUUGGCUUGAGUAAACAAACAUGACAUGUUACUCCAAAGAUCCAAGGUUGUACUGUCAUUUUGUUUUUCCCCCCUUUAUCUAAAUCCUAAAAUGUGGUCUGUUUUAAGACAGCAUGGCAAGUUAAUGGUGCUCUCUCUGAUGUUGCACAUUAAAUAACAUCUAUACAUUAUUCAUCGUCCUCGUCUCUCUACAUCACUGAAGUAUCAUUAGCGUUUUCUGGUAAUGGAAGCGGCAUUGAUUUCAUGUGCUGUGGGAGUCCCUGUGUUUGUGCUUAUAGUCUGUGUCCCAAAGAGCUUCAUGGAGGUCAUUUAUACACCAUCCAAUGAUUUACUCACAUGUGCUUCUGGUUAGUCUGACAGAGCUGUUUAGGACUGAGGCACUGCGUACCUGAUACCAUCCGUAAUGCCAUAUGUUUGACGUUAUGGUACGUUGUUGAAUGGGUGCCGUCAGAAUGAGAGGCCAAACAGCUAAUAAAAAACAUCACAAUAAUCCACAUAACUCCAGUCUAUC